rnacentral:lncRNA from 1 species
CUCGCACUACCUCCUCGAUCACAUACCACUAUCUUUCUGGCAACUUUUUCUGGAAUCAAACUUCCGGCCAUGCAAAGAGCUCCACCACUUGAAUUACUCACAUUACCGCCAUAAACUAGUGGCACCAUGGAAUCAGAUAACUGCUUUCCAUUAUAAAGUGUCACACCGGAGUGUAGUUCAUUGUUACCCAGAGUAAUAGAGGCAGGGAAAUCACGGUCCAAUGUUCCAGCACCUACAGUGGUUAUCCACGGUGCAACAUUUGACAAGCUGCUUGGUAUGGGUCCACUGUUUCCAGCUGAACAAGAUACAAAAAUUCCAUUUGCAGCUGCUGUGAAUGCU